rnacentral:rRNA from 1 species
CCUACGGGAGGCAGCAGUGAGGAAUAUUGGUCAAUGGGCGCUAGCCUGAACCAGCCAAGUAGCGUGAAGGAUGACUGCCCUAUGGGUUGUAAACUUCUUCUAUAUGGGAAUAAAGUGCAGUAUGUAUACUGCUUUGCACGUACCUUAUGAAUAAGGAUCGGCUAACUCUGUGCCAGCAGCCGCGGUAAUACGGAGGAUCCGAGCGUUAUCCGGAUUUAUUGGGUUUAAAGGGAGCGUAGGCGGGUUGUUAAGUCAGUUGUGAAAGUUUGCGGCUCAACCGUAAAAUUGCAGUUGAUACUGGCAUCCUUGAGUACAGUAGAGGUAGGCGGAAUUCGUGGUGUAGCGGUGAAAUGCUUAGAUAUCACGAAGAACUCCGAUUGCGAAGGCAGCCUGCUGGACUGUAACUGACGCUGAUGCUCGAAAGUGUGGGUAGCAAACAGGAUUAGAUACCCGGGUAGUC